CCUACGGGUGGCAGCAGUGAGGAAUAUUGGUCAAUGGACGGAAGUCUGAACCAGCCAUGCCGCGUGCAGGAAGACGGCUCUAUGAGUUGUAAACUGCUUUUGUACAAGGGUAAACCUGUAUACGUGUAUUCAGCUGAAAGUACUGUACGAAUAAGGAUCGGCUAACUCCGUGCCAACAGCCGCGGUAAUACGGAGGAUCCAAGCGUUAUCCGGAUUUAUUGGGUUUAAAGGGUGCGUAGGCGGAUUGAUAAGUUAGAGGUGAAAUGUCCGAGCUUAACUCGGGAACUGCCUCUAAUACUGUUGGUCUAGAGAGUGGAUGCGGUAGGCGGAAUGUAUGGUGUAGCGGUGAAAUGCUUAGAGAUCAUACAGAACACCGAUUGCGAAGGCAGCUUACCAAUCUAUAUCUGACGUUGAGGCACGAAAGCGUGGGGAGCAAACAGGAUUAGAUACCCCUGUAGUC
rnacentral:rRNA from 1 species